AGAAAGGAAAGAGGGUGUGAAAAUGUCUGGUUUACUGCAUUCUCCCACAGAAAGAUGUAGAAUGCAAUGUGCUACAAUUAGAAGUCUCUUCUGAAUAUAUCAGCUGACAGAUGACUAAGGAAAAGAGCAGAACUGCAAACAGGUACUUAGCACCAUGCUUGGAGAUCUUGAAAUCAAAUGAUAUUAUUCUACAUUUAAAUAGCAGCAACCACCUCUGGCUUGGGAACCAUUGAUUCCAAUCUUGCCCACCUUAAACUUCACACGUUUUGACAGAAACUAAUUAUCCUUCAGACGACUUCAUUGCUGAGGUGUUCGUAAUGAAAGAUGCUGUAUUUGAAAAGGAAACCAGCCUCGGUGGAAAGGAUUAAGAAUCUCAUUUCCUAAUAGAAGCCUAAUCCCAAUGCUACUGGAAGAUUCAUAAUAAUUUAAUGCAACAUUAAUUGGAGCUUUGCAGAACAGAAGCCAAUGCCUCUAAGGACUGCUACUGUUGAUUGAUCUCUGUGGGUCACAGUAACUUAAUCUGCUCUUAGCUUCCUUUGGGCUCUACAGUGGUUCAGCUUCCCGUUUUAUUAUGCCAUUUUGGAGGCAGUGAUGGAUAUUUAGGCCAGCUCAUUUUCAGCAAUGUAGCACAAAAUUACGUUUUGUGCCUAGGCUCCCAAUUCACUAAUCCAUCAAUUAUUUCAUGGCUAAUAAGUAAAUAUGUUACCUUAGACUUUCAUUUAAAAACACGUAUUUAUGAAAUGGUUUAUGUAAAAUUAAAUUCAAAUAAAUUUACAUUUACUUUCUCAGUAUAUCAGCUCAAAUACUUGCUUCUAUUAACCAAUAUACUAUCCAAUCUCUGAGCAAUAUAAAUUGUGUUCAUAUUUACAGGUUCAAGAGCUGUGGAAUUCUAAGGAUUGGUACUCUAGAGUGUGCCAAACAGUAACAAUUGGUCUGUUUGAUUAAAUUUGUUUAAGUAGUAACUUAAAUUGCUGAACUGAAAAAGUAAUUUGAUAAAUUCAGUAUUCUUGAAAAAUGAUGUUUUGAAGAUAUUUUUGUACCAAUUAAAAUACCAUUAGACUGCUUUCUUUUCUAAAAUGAAUUCUGGCAGCAGACCUCUCAUGAAAUAUUAAGACCUUUUUGUUAAUGAGCUAAACACAGAAAACAUUGCAAAGCUCUGUAAGAGUAUUACUGAUGGAAAUUUAGAUGACUUUUAAAAGUGUGCUUUUAGAGAAAUUAAUGCAGUUUUAUUUACAUUUCAAUGACAAAGCAAACUAUGAAAAUAUACCCCUACUGUUCAAUUUUAACAGAAUGGGCUUAAAUCGCCAGUAGGAACAUAUGACUUUGGCACUUCCAAAAUCUGGAUACUUGGGUCUUUCUCCCCCCCCCCAGGAAUGUAUUAACUUGUUUAUCUUUAGACAGAAAUUAGCCUAUUUCCUGUAGUACAAUACAGUAAGUGACCUAUGAUUUAUUAAUGUAGACAUGUCAUAAAAUCUAUAUUUAACAUGCCAGCUACAGUUCAAUGUGAUAUUGCAGCUUAGAGAAACUUGCAAAUAUUUUACUGCAUUAUACUGAGCUGGCUGCACAAUUUCUUGAAUGUAUCAUUUCUUUACCUUAGCAAAAAUCAUAGCAAAACUUAACAUGCUCUAAUAGCUCUCAGAACAGCGUUUUGCAGUCCUGAAGUUUUCCAUGCUUAACUCACUUGCUCAGUUUUUGAUUCUUCCAAUUUAUGAAAUGUAGGUAGAAUGAUGCAGUAUUAAUUAGUAAUAUACUAAAUCUGCUUGUUGUUUUAAAAAUUAACUUAUACAUUUAUCACAAACAUCAAAAUAUGAUGUUCUCAUUUCUGGCAGUUUUGGUUUCUGUGGUGGGAGUUUUUUUUAGCUGCUAUUCUUAAGUAACUUAUUUUGUUUAAAACACUGUAAGGUUUAAUAAUAUUCAUGUGAAUGGCACAAAUACUGUUUCAAGAAACAAGUAUACAGUAUAUUGCAAGAAUGAGGGUGGGGGGAGAAGUGCUAUAGCUAUACUGAAAUCUUAAAAAGAGUAAACCAUUCAUAGCUACAUACCAAUACUCGAGUCUUAAUAUAAAAAAGAUACCAUAAAUGUAGAAGGUGUGACUGAAGUCAGAAGUUUCUCCAGAAGAUUGUUAAAAUAUCACAUUAAAAGAGACAAAGAACUUCAAGAAAAUGUCUAAGAAAAGCAAGCUGUGAUACAACAAGCAUUUGUUAAGAAAAGCUCAG